UGGGAGAUUCUCCAAAUCCUUCUUCAGUGAACAAGCAUGAAUAGCAUUCUUGUAUUUUGGUUUGUCAAGAGGACUUCCAAAAAGUAUAUUUUCUUCUAUGUUUCCAGAUUGUAUCCAAGGUGAUUGAGGCACAUAUGCAGAAGUACCACAUAAUCUUACUUCCCCCAUGAGUUUUGGAAUCUCCCCAAGGAUGCAAGAUAGGAAGCUUGAUUUCCCAGACCCAACAACACCACAAACAGCGACACGCAUCCCUUUCUCCACUCUCACUUGUAUUCCUGAUAAGGUUGGCCUUGGAGAAGAAGUGUCCCAGGAGAAGAGGCCAUCUUUG
rnacentral:misc_RNA from 1 species